AACGAACGCUGGCGGCGUGCCUAAUACAUGCAAGUCGAACGCUGACGGAGGAGCUUGCUUCUCUGGAUGAGUUGCGAACGGGUGAGUAACGCGUAGGUAACCUGCCUUGUAUCUGGGGGUAACUAUUGGAAACGAUAGCUAAUACAGCAUAACAUUAGAUCUAGCAUGAUAUCUACUUGAAAUGUGCAAUUUCAUCACUACCAGAUGGCCCUGCGUUGUAUUAUGUAGUUGGUGAGGUAAAGGCACACCAAGGCGGAGGUACAUAACCGGCCUGAGAGGGAGGUCCGGCACACUGGGACUGGGACACGGCCCAAACUCCUUCGGGAAGCAGCAGGAGGGGAACUUCGGCAAAUGGCGGAAGGCUUAACCAGGAACGACGCGUGGGUGAAGAAGGUUUUCGGGGUGUAAAGCUCUGUUUUUAGAGAAGAAAGAGUGUGAGAGUGGAAAGUUCACACUGUGACGGUAUCUUACCAGAAAGGAACGGCUAACUACGUG
rnacentral:rRNA from 1 species